rnacentral:rRNA from 1 species
GAUGAACGCUAGCGGCAGGCUUAAUACAUGCAAGUUGAGGGGCAGUAUGAUAUACGCGAGUAUAUUGAUGGCGACCGGCGGACGGGUGAGUAAUAGGUAGGAGACCUACCUCAUACAGGGGGAUAGCAUAGAGAAAUCUGUGGUAAUACCCCAUGAGGUUAUAUGAAUAGAGGCAUAUAAUCAAAGCAUAAGCGAUUAUGCGGUAUGAGAGGGGCCUACUGACCAUUAGCUAGUUGGUGAGGUAAGGGCUCACCAAGGCGAAGAUGGUUAGGGGUUUUGAGAGAGAGACCCCCCACAUUGGAACUGAGAGACGGUCCAGACUCCUACGGGAGGCAGCAGUAGGGAAUAUUGGGCAAUGGGCGAAAGCCUGACCCAGCCAUGCCGCGUGAAGGAAGACGGCCUUAUGGGUUGUAAACUUCUUUACUACGCGAAUAGAGGUUAGUACGAGAUACUAAUAGGAAGGUAGUGUAGUAAAAGCACCGGCUAACUCCGUGCC